rnacentral:rRNA from 1 species
AUUGAACGCUGGCGGCAUGCUUUACACAUGCAAGUCGAACGGUAACAGGCCUUCGGGUGCUGACGAGUGGCGAACGGGUGAGUAAUGCAUCGGAACGUACCCAGAGGUGGGGGAUAACGCAGCGAAAGCUGUGCUAAUACCGCAUGUGAUCUGAGGAUGAAAGCGGGGGACCGAGCAGCAAUGUUUGGCCUCGCGCCUUUGGAGCGGCCGAUGUCGGAUUAGCUAGUUGGUGGGGUAAAGGCCUACCAAGGCGACGAUCCGUAGCUGGUCUGAGAGGACGACCAGCCACACUGGGACUGAGACACGGCCCAGACUCCUACGGGAGGCAGCAGUGGAGAAGUUUGGACAAUGGGCGCAAGCCUGAUCCAGCAAUGCCGCGUGCGGGAAGAAGGCCUUCGGGUUGUAAACCGCUUUUGGCAGGAACGAAACGGUGUCCGCUAAUACCGGGCGCUAAUGACGGUACCUGCAGAAUAAGCACCGGCUAACUACGUG